rfam:Fusobacterium sp. 3_1_5R genomic scaffold supercont1.1, whole genome shotgun sequence.
UUUAGAAAUAGAGGUGCAUAUAUGAGGAUAGCAUAAGAGUGCUAAGGAAAAAGCUUCCGAAAUCUUAUGUGAAGGGCAUAAUUGCCGAAAGAAGUUAUUAGGCUUGUAUCAUAACUUCUUGGGGAAUGUAUGGAAAAUACAUUCACUGUCAUAUUCUUUAUGAGUAUGGAGAGCUAUUGAAUAA